AGGUCCCAGCUCAGCAGGAGACUGUUUGCUGCCAUGACUUGGUCCCAGCACCAGUGUGUCACUGUAUGCCCCAAUACGCGUGCAGGGCUCCCCUCAACCCCCUACAGUCACCAUGGAGCAUCAUAGCAAGCGAGAACUGGGCAUGUGUCUCCAACACUAAUGCUGUAACCAGGCACAGAAGGAUCGCAGGGUCCAGGGUUACAGAGAUCCAGCAUCACCCAGCAUCUCCCUGGCCACUGUGCAGAGCAUCUACUGAGGACUGAGAGCAAAUACAACACAGCAUGAGAUUUUGGGCAAGACAGAUGGUUCAGGCAUGAUUUCCUGCAAAUCUUACUUACCUUUGCAC